GUGGGGAAUUGUUCACAAUGGGCGCAAGCCUGAUCCAGCCAUGCCGCGUGAGUGAUGAAGGCCUUAGGGUUGUAAAGCUCUUUCAGCGGGGAAGAUAAUGACGGUACCCGCAGAAGAAGCCCCGGCUAACUUCGUGCCAGCAGCCGCGGUAAUACGAAGGGGGCUAGCGUUGCUCGGAAUCACUGGGCGUAAAGCGCACGUAGGCGGAUCUUUAAGUCAGGGGUGAAAUCCUGGAGCUCAACUCCAGAACUGCCUUUGAUACUGGGGAUCUCGAGUCCGGAAGAGGUGAGUGGAACUCCGAGUGUAGAGGUGAAAUUCGUAGAUAUUCGGAAGAACACCAGUGGCGAAGGCGGCUCACUGGUCCGGUACUGACGCUGAGGUGCGAAAGCGUGGGGAGCAAA
rnacentral:rRNA from 1 species